GCCCAUAUUUAUGUAAUCUAGACCGCUGAGAUACUGCAUCCCACCGUUGAUGUAUCAUGCCACUGCACUCUUCUCAAUACGACAAUAGUAAGCUUCCGAUUUCUGGCCCACAAAUGGACAGUUAAGAAGAGAAAUAAAUAUAGCAGCGGUCCACGUUCAACUGAAUAGAUCUCGUGGAAUGGUGGCCUAAUCAAGAAGAAUUUUGUGACAUGCUCCAUCCAAAGCGAGAAUCAACAGACCAACAGUCUGGAUUACUGAAUCAUAGGCCCAACUUGUCAGGAUUCAAAACCCGCGUAUGCAAUGCAAAAACCCUUAGGCUCGAGUACGAUUAAAGACCCUUCAAGAGCAGAAAGAGCUUCUGGUUUUGAAUUUUGCAGAGAGAGAGAGAGAGAGAGAGAGAGUAUGGCAUUGAGAAGGGCGUUGGGGUGGUCAGAUGGGGAGCUGAUGAGAUCAGACUCGAAACCAUGCUCGAGGUUGAUGAGACACACGGCUGGGAUUUUCUCUGUCGGAGGUGGUCUUGCUUUCUGGGUCCUCUGCAGAUUGCACUACGGUCCAAGAAUAACAGUACCAAGGAGUCUUAGAUGGGCUGCUUGUGGGGUGGUAUCUAUGAGCUCGACGUCAGCUCUGCUGGUCCGCCUCUUUAGUCCUGAGUGCGAACCCCAGAACAUAGCUGCUUAUGACAAGGCUAAAUGAAACCGUCUGUACGGUUCCAGUGACCAUCUAUUCAUUGAAAUUCUGUUAACUGCUUGCUAGCAGCAAGAGACUGCUGUAAAACAUACAUCAGUGUCUGAGGGUUGGAAGUGUUCCAGUGAAGUAGUCUGGUAACUGAGCUGGAUUUAUUUUCUUGAGUGUAAUUUCAGUAUUUAGGAAGGAAAAGUAACUGUUUAUUCAAACACUGUCAGCUGUACUAAACUUCUUGUUAUAUAUUUAAUUCCUCGAA